rnacentral:rRNA from 1 species
GACGAACGCUGGCGGCGUGCUUAACACAUGCAAGUCGAACGGUGAAGCGCCUUCCUUUUUGGUGGGUGUGGAUGAGUGGCGAACGGGUGAGUAACACGUGAGUAACCUGCCCCCUUCUUCUGGAUAACCGCAUGAAAGUGUGGCUAAUACGGGAUAUUCUGGGUCUGUCGCAUGAUGGGUCUGGGAAAGAUAUUGUUUCGGUGGGGGAUGGGCUCGCGGCCUAUCAGCUUGUUGGUGGGGUGAUGGCCUACCAAGGCGGUGACGGGUAGCCGGCCUGAGAGGGUGGACGGUCACACUGGGACAGAGACACGGCCCAGACUCCUACGCGACGCAGCAGUGGGGAACAUUGCACAAUGGGGGAAAGCCUGAUGCAGCGACGCCGCGUGAGGGAUGGAGGCCUUCGGGUUGUGAACCUCUUUCGCCAGUGAAGCAGGCCUGCCUCGUUUGUGGGUGGGUUGACGGUAGCUGGAUAAGAAGCGCCGGCUAACUACGUG